rnacentral:rRNA from 1 species
AGACCGGUUUAUUGGUCGUGCUUUUGGUACGUACUGGUAUUAUUGGUUUCUCCUUUCUGACGAACUAUAAUGCCAUUAAUUUGGUGUUAUGGUGAAUCAGGACUGUUACUUUGAAAAAAUUAUAGUGUUUAAAGCAGGCUCACGCUUGAAUACAUUAGCAUGGAAUAACGGAAUAGGACGUUUGAUUCUAUUUUGUUGGAUUCUAGGAUCGACGUA